ensembl:lncRNA
UGAAUCCUGACAAAGGACCAUUGUUUAUUAUAUAUGCUUAGUGGCCCAUAACUAAAUGUGAAGCAAAAACAUGAUGCUUUGAUUUGGGUCACAUUUACAUCUAUCCUGAGAUCUUUAGUCUUCACUGUAAACUGAUACAAGGGCAGAAUAACGAUUUGAUUGGGUGUCUUUUUUUAACCAUUCCAGCUUCUGGCAGACAAUUGAGACCAGAUGACACAGAGGCCGAUGGGGAGGCUGAUGCAGAAGAUGAUUCUGUCACUGAAAUAACAACUGAAAACAUACGACCAAGACCACAAGGAUCUUCUCCAGUUUAUGAGUAUUGCAUAGAAGACGAAUAUUUUAACAAAAAGGCAAGACGUCAAGCCAAUGAGUUUCAUGUAAUGCUUUUUGGCUGGUGGCAGUUCCUCAGUUCUUUAGAAUCAUUGAUGAAAUUGCUAUCACUUCACUUGACCAUUAAAACUUUAAUGGCCAUUGAAAAACAAAGCCGAUGCUAACUGGCCAACAGAAACAAUCAUUCAUUCCAAUAUCAAGAUGAAAUUCGGGCUAUUGUUAGGUAAAUUUAAAAAAAAUUCAAAAACAAAACAAGGAAAGAGGGAAAUCCUUGGCCACUUGGACUUUAAAGGGAAUCUCAUCCCCACCAAAAGCUGAUCCAACAUUUGGGGAUUAGUUUCAUCCCAUCCUGGAAAAUAUUAAACAUUGCUAGGCUUGAAUAAUAAUAAUGACAUAGCAAUAAAAAGAGCAACAACCAAAACUAUUAAAGUCA